UUUUCUUAUUUACUCUCGUAUUUUCCAAAAUUUCCCCCUUCCUUCUAAAUUUUCAAUUUCACUUAAGAUACAAAUUCAUCCCGCUGUCCUCAAAUUUCAUUUUCGAUUUGCCCCUAAAUUUUACUUCGUGCUUACUCUCAAAUUUCACUUUGCGUUUAUCCCAAACCUGCAUUGCAUUUAUCAAACGUAAUAGUUCUUAGUGAAGCAAGUCAAUAUUGCAUUGUCUUCUCCAUCAUUACUCAUUGGCAGGCCAAAGUUCAUCAAUUACGGUCAUCGAUAAGGGUUUAGGAAACCAGCCUCCUUCAAGAAAUCAGUACGGUCGUGGCUAGGUUUAAUGCUUCGCCAGAAGUUCUAGUGAAAGAAGUGACGGUGUUGUUGAAGGCAUCACCAACAAACCACACCUCGAGCCAGCGUUUUUGUUCGUUUGCUCUUGGAUUCGUAUCAUUCCGCUGCUUUUCACUCUUCGAUGAAGCUUCGAAGGAGUCCAUAGCAUGUUCAUUUGGAGUUCUUCUUGGAGCUUAUUCCAUCAUCUCCCUUUGCAAGCGUGAGCAUCAAUGUAGGUUGAGGAUGAAAAAGCUCACUGGAAAUAAUCGCAUUUGGACAUCCAUUGGUGGUUACGAGGUGGGUGAAGGAUAUCCAGAACUAGAGAAGGAUGAAAAAAGGAAAAACAGAAUGUCGCGUUCAGAACCUACUCAAAUUGAAUCCUUCCUUAGAGGAGGGGACCAAGUUAUAUAUCUGUCUUGGAAGAAAUGAUUACCCUUGUGAGUUACGACCAUUGUUAUUCUUAUUACUAGGUCAAAUAGAGUAGCACAAACAAUGUUAUUGCGACAAGACGAAUUUCUUGGAGCUUUAUGUGCAUUUAUGAGUUAUAAGAAGCAUGGUUUAGAUGACCUCAUGGUUCAUUAGUUGGUGGAAAAGAUUCCAAUGGGUGCUCCGUAUACAGGAGGCAAGAUUCAUGGCCAACCACUUGGAAAUUUGAAUGAGAAGGCAAGUGAUAGGGAUUGGAAAUUUCUAAUAAAUGCUAGUGGCUUGGUUAAGAUAUAUUGAUAAUCUUUAGAUGUUUUUCUGCUAGACUUCUUAUUUAGGAAUUUAGCACGUUCGGUUUUGCUUAGCUUUUCACAAACAACUUACAACAAUAGUUAGUCCUAACAUAACUCUCACAUCAAUUUAAUUCAAGUCAAUUUAAUAGGGUGUAUUUCUAGGGAGCAUCAAUUCUUUUACAAUAAACAAGGUCGUCCCUUUUGUGUUGGACGUUCAUCUUGACGUUGCAAUAAUAUAGUAGCUUAAGUAACUCCACUGACAAGAUUCCUCUAGAUGAAUGGAAUGACCAUUUUUAGAUACACAAAUUAUUAUUGAUGGUGGGAAAAAUUAUAUUCCUUGUAUAUUUUUGUUUCUUUUAUUUUAUCUGCCCUUGUUUUUAUAUCUUUCUCCUUCUUUUCCCCAUGCGAACUAGGAAAGUAUCUUCUUUUGUUUUCCAACAAAAUCCAAAAUGUUUAGUUUGUUCAUUAAACAAAAUACAUAGUAUCAUUUAAGCUAAAAAAAUUUUCUUCCGAGAAUUUCCAUAAAAUAAAUUUGAUAGACAUUAGUUUCAUGGUAUGUGUCGAGUGGUUUGUUCUUGAAAGACUUGAUUUUAGUUUUUCAUUCUAAAUAGUUGUUCUGUUACACUCCUAAUUCUUAUGCAGUUUCUGGUUUUCAUCUCUUGUCUUCAAAUUUUACAAUCUUGGUUGUGAAAUAUUAGCAAUUGCAUUGCCUACAGCUUCUUUUUGAUGAAAAGAGGAGGACAACUCAUAUAUAAUGGUCCCUUAGGUCGGCAAUCUCAGAAGCUUAUAGAGUACUUUGAGAUUAUUCCUGGAGUUUCUAAAAUUAGAGAAGGUUAUAAUACUGCAACUUGGGCUUUGGAGAUCAGUUCUCCAACAGUUGAGAGUUAGGUCGGUGUAGACUUUGCAAAAUUGUACAAGAAGUCCAAAUUGUAUCAGAGGAAUCAAGAACUUAUUAAAGAGCUAAGCACACCUAUUAAUACCGGGUAAUCAAAGGCAUUAUCGUAAUCUUAGUAGUUUUAAAUAUGUUUAGAAAAGCACCGUGCUUCAUCAGUAGCCACUCUCCGGUAAGCAUGCCUUCAAGAGUUAUAGUUUUAAGAUCCCAUAUUUAUCGGGUAAUACCUUACUUCAAGAGUUCUAGUGUCUAAAAUCACCUGACGACAAUAAUUGUGGGUAUUACAUGUUGUGUAGAUAUACAAAGUAAAUUAUCACGUACUGUGAAGGAGGGACAAUUCUAAGAGGGACAAUUUUAACCGAUAUAAGUUAUCUUCAUUAUCAUAAUUAAUUUGUAUUCAAAAUUUAAUUAACUAAUUUUAUAUUAUUUAUUUUUUUGCAGUAUUUUUUGGGUUGCAGAUGUCAACAAUAUCGUGAUAGUCAAAUCAUUGAAGUUAAGAAAAAUUGAUGUUUACAUGUAAUUAGUACAUGCUUAUAGGUAUUAAUAGGAUAUAUAUGUUAUGGUUGUAUAUAUUAUCUUAUAAAGUAAUGUCAUGUAAUGACACGUAAUUGAUGACUUAUUGUAUAAAUAGUGUUUAUUCAUAUGAAUGAAUAUUCUUUUUGACA